UUGUAACACGAACUGGUGUUAAAGGGUCCUGCCCAAUGGCUGACAGGUGCUGUCGGGGCAGGGACCCUUUAGCACCGGUUCGUGUUACAGA
rfam:Sorghum bicolor cultivar BTx623 chromosome 8, whole genome shotgun sequence.